rnacentral:rRNA from 1 species
AGAUUGAACGCUAGCGGCAUGCCUAACACAUGCAAGUCGAACGGGUAACAGGCCCUUCGGGGUGCUGACGAGUGGCGGACGGGUGAGUAAUGCGUAGGAAUCUACCCACGAGUGGGGGAUAGCCCGGAGAAAUCCGGAUUAAUACCGCAUAUGCCCUACGGGGUAAAGCGGGGGACCGAAAGGCCUCGCGCUGGUGGAUGAGCCUACGUCCGAUUAGUUAGUUGGUGGGGUAAAGCCGUACCAAGGCUACGUAUCGUAGCUGGUCUGAGAGGACGACCAGCCAACGCUGGGACGUGAGACACGGCCCAGACUCC